rnacentral:rRNA from 1 species
UUUCGCAAUGCCCGAAAGGGUGACGAAGCGACGCCGCGUGCGGGAAGAAGGCCUUCGGGUUGUAAACCGCUGUCGGGAGUUAAGAAAUGUAAGGAUGUUAAUAGCAUCUUUGCUUGACUAAGGCUCCGGAGGAAGCCACGGCUAACUCUGUGCCAGCAGCCGCGGUAAUACAGAGGCGGCAAGCGUUGUUCGGAAUUAUUGGGCGUAAAGAGCACGUAGGCGGCUAUGUAAGUCGGUUGUGAAAGCCUUCCGCUCAACGGGAGAACAGCAUCCGAUACUGCAUGGCUUGAGUGCGGGAGGGGAGAGUGGAACUUCUAGUGGAGCGGUGAAAUGCGUAGAUAUCAGAAGGAACGCCGGCGGCGAAAGCGGCUCUCUGGCCCAUAACUGACGCUGAGUGUGCGAAAGCUAGGGGAGCAAACGGGAUUAGAUACCCCGGUAGUCCUAGCCGUAAACGAUGGGCACUAAGUAGAGGGGUUUUA